rnacentral:tRNA from 1 species
CAGGGUAUGAGAGAGCCUGGUUACUCGGUCACCCUCGGACGGUGGCAACGCUGGUUCAAAUCCAGCUACCCUGACCA